rnacentral:rRNA from 1 species
CAUAACAAUUUGAAUCGCAUGAUUCAAAUUUAAAAGAUGGCUUCGGCUAUCACUUUGGGAUGGACCUGCGGCGCAUUAGCUUGUUGGUAGGGUAACGGCCUACCAAGGCUGUGAUGCGUAGCCGAGUUGAGAGACUGAUCGGCCACAAUGGAACUGAGACACGGUCCAUACUCCUACGGGAGGCAGCAGUAGGGAAUCUUCCACAAUGGGCGCAAGCCUGAUGGAGCAACACCGCGUGAGUGAAGAAGGGUUUCGGCUCGUAAAGCUCUGUUGUUAGAGAAGAACGUGCGUGAGAGUAACUGUUCACGCAGUGACGGUAUCUAACCAGAAAGUCACGGCUAACUACGUGCCAGCAGCCGCGGUAAUACGUAGGUGGCAAGCGUUAUCCGGAUUUAUUGGGCGUAAAGCGAGCGCAGGCGGUUUGAUAAGUCUGAUGUGAAAGCCUUUGGCUUAACCAAAGAAGUGCAUCGGAAACUGUCAGACUUGAGUGCAGAAGAGGACAGUGGAACUCCAUGUGUAGCGGUGGAAUGCGUAGAUAUAUGGAAGAACACCAGUGGCGAAGGCGGCUGUCUGGUCUGCAACUGACGCUGAGGCUCGAAAGCAUGGGUAGCGAACAGGAUUAGAUACCCUGGUAGUCCAUGCCGUAAACGAUGAGUGCUAGGUGUUGGAGGGUUUCCGCCCUUCAGUGCCGCAGCUAACGCAUUAAGCACUCCGCCUGGGGAGUACGACCGCAAGGUUGAAACUCAAAGGAAUUGACGGGGGCCCGCACAAGCGGUGGAGCAUGUGGUUUAAUUCGAAGCUACGCGAAGAACCUUACCAGGUCUUGACAUCUUGCGCCAACCCUAGAGAUAGGGCGUUUCCUUCGGGAACGCAAUGACAGGUGGUGCAUGGUCGUCGUCAGCUCGUGUCGUGAGAUGUUGGGUUAAGUCCCGCAACGAGCGCAACCCUUGUUACUAGUUGCCAGCAUUCAGUUGGGCACUCUAGUGAGACUGCCGGUGACAAACCGGAGGAAGGUGGGGACGACGUCAGAUCAUCAUGCCCCUUAUGACCUGGGCUACACACGUGCUACAAUGGACGGUACAACGAGUCGCGAACUCGCGAGGGCAAGCUAAUCUCUUAAAACCGUUCUCAGUUCGGACUGCAGGCUGCAACUCGCCUGCACGAAGUCGGAAUCGCUAGUAAUCGCGGAUC